rnacentral:rRNA from 1 species
ACCUAGCUGUAAACUUAGGUGAACCCUUUACCCCCCCCCACCCGCCAGAGAACUACGAGUGAAAAACUUGAAACUCCAAGGACUUGACGGUGCCCCAUAACCCCCUAGAGGAGCCUGUCCUACAAUCGAUGCUCCACGCUAAACCUCUCCCCCCUUAGUCAAAAUCAGCCUAUAUACCGCCGUCGCCAGCCUACCUAGUGAUAGUCGCACAGCAGGCAAAAUAGUACCCCCACUAACACGUCAGGUCAAGGUGUAGCUCAUGGGGCGGCAAGAGAUGGGCUACAUUUUCUAACCACUAGAAAAUCCACCGUAGACUAUAUGAAACUUCUAGCCGACCGGCGGAUUUAGCAGUAAAUAACGACAAGCUAUGUCUAAUUGAAGUCGGCCCUGAGGNGCGCACACACCGCCCGUCACCCUCCUCAAAAACCCCUCAUAAAAUAACUAAACCACACACUAACUGCAAGACGAGGCAAGUCGUAACAUGGUAAGCCUACCGGAAGGNGGGCUUGGCACACA